CAGGCUUAACACAUGCAAGUCGAGGGGCAUCAGGAAGAAAGCUUGCUUUCUUUGCUGGCGACCGGCGCACGGGUGAGUAACACGUAUCCAACCUGCCCUUUACUCGGGGAUAGCCUUUCGAAAGAAAGAUUAAUACCCGAUAGCAUAAUGAUUCCGCAUGGUUUCAUUAUUAAAGGAUUCCGGUAAAGGAUGGGGAUGCGUUCCAUUAGGUUGUUGGUGAGGUAACGGCCCACCAAGCCUUCGAUGGAUAGGGGUUCUGAGAGGAAGGUCCCCCACAUUGGAACUGAGACACGGUCCAAACUCCUACGGGAGGCAGCAGUGAGGAAUAUUGGUCAAUGGGCGCUAGCCUGAACCAGCCAAGUAGCGUGAAGGAUGAAGGCUCUAUGGGUCGUAAACUUCUUUUAUAUAAGAAUAAAGUGCAGUAUGUAUACUGUUUUGUAUGCAUUAUAUGAAUAAGGAUCGGCUAACUCCAUGCCAGCAGCCGCGGUAAUACGGAGGAUCCGAGCGUUAUCCGGAUUUAUUGGGUUUAAAGGGAGCGUAGGUGGACUGGUAAGUCAGUUGUGAAAGUUUGCGGCUCAACCGUAAAAUUGCAGUUGAUACUGUCAGUCUUGAGUACAGUAGAGGUGGGCGGAAUUCGUGGUGUAGCGGUGAAAUGCUUAGAUAUCACGAAGAACUCCGAUUGCGAAGGCAGCUCACUGGACUGCAACUGACACUGAUGCUCGAAAGUGUGGGUAUCAAACAGGAUUAGAUACCCUGGUAGUCCACACAGUAAACGAUGAAUACUCGCUGUUUGCGAUAUACAGUAAGCGGCCAAGCGAAAGCAUUAAGUAUUCCACCUGGGGAGUACGCCGGCAACGGUGAAACUCAAAGGAAUUGACGGGGGCCCGCACAAGCGGAGGAACAUGUGGUUUAAUUCGAUGAUACGCGAGGAACCUUACCCGGGCUUAAAUUGCAGUGGAAUGAUGUGGAAACAUGUCAGUGAGCAAUCACCGCUGUGAAGGUGCUGCAUGGUUGUCGUCAGCUCGUGCCGUGAGGUGUCGGCUUAAGUGCCAUAACGAGCGCAACCCUUAUCUUUAGUUACUAACAGGUUAUGCUGAGGACUCUAGAGAGACUGCCGUCGUAAGAUGUGAGGAAGGUGGGGAUGACGUCAAAUCAGCACGGCCCUUACGUCCGGGGCUACACACGUGUUACAAUGGGGGGUACAGAAGGCAGCUAGCGGGUGACCGUAUGCUAAUCCCAAAAUCCUCUCUCAGUUCGGAUCGAAGUCUGCAACCCGACUUCGUGAAGCUGGAUUCGCUAGUAAUCGCGCAUCAGCCACGGCGCGGUGAAUACGUUCCCGGGCCUUGUACACACCGCCCGUCAAGCCAUGGGAGCCGGGGGUACCUGAAGUACGUAACCGCAAGGAUCGUCCUAGGGUAAAACUGGUGACUGG
rnacentral:rRNA from 1 species